AGUGAGGGGAUACAAAGUUCAUUGGUAGUACAACUUUAGGUUGUCGGCAUUCCAGGUCUGGAGAAUGGCGUUCCCUUCUAGAGUCUCCAGUCGGUAAGCUCUCGGCCCGUAGGCGUCCGCCAUCUUAUAGGGUCCUUCCCAGUUCGGAGCUAACUUCCCUCGGUCUAGUGGCUUCGAGACUUCUGCCUUUCUUAGGACU
rnacentral:lncRNA from 1 species